rnacentral:rRNA from 1 species
UACGAGGGGGGCAAGCGUUGUUCGGAAUUAUUGGGCGUAAAGGGUGCGUAGGUGGUUCGGCAAGUCUUGUGUGAAAUCUUCAGGCUCAACUUGGAGUCUGCACAAGAAACUGCCGGGCUUGAGUAUGGGAGAGGUGAGUGGAAUUUCCGGUGUAGCGGUGAAAUGCGUAGAUAUCGGAAGGAACACCUGUGGCGAAAGCGGCUCACUGGACCAUUACUGACACUGAGGCACGAAAGCUAGGGGAGCAAACAGG